GAAUCAGUUGACCGGGAGUAUAUAACGUCUCAAGGAGGAGGCUCAGUAUCCAGAUCGCCCUCAGCCGUAGAGGUUGCAGCACCUUCCCAGCCAACAUGAAGCUGAUUUCCUUGUUGAUGGCCAUGCUUGUGGCCCUGUCCUGCUUCAUGGGAUCUGCUCUUGCCAUGCCCGAGCCCUAUGCCCUCCCUGACGCUGACGCCGGGGCAGAGGCCGAACCCUGGCGCUAUAGGCCCUACUAUGGUCACUACCAUUCCCACUACCAUAGGCCCUACGGAUACCACGGUCAUUUCCACCGGGGUUAAGCAGGCACAGAGUGCAGUGUAGAAGACUCAUUACCGCCAAUUAGGAUUUCUCUUUCGUUCGCCCUCUGUUUAUGUCUCUCAAAGUACCGAUAUCAAUGUAGAUACAUUUGUAAACUGAAUUUUCUACUUCCGCUCGUAAUGAUUUCUCCAAGAUACUAGUUAAACACUCAAAAUGUAUCUUGAAAAAAAUGGAAUCGCUACUUCUUUCCAAUUAAAAAGGUGUGUAAGA
rnacentral:lncRNA from 1 species